UUGGUUCUUUAUUUUAGUUUUAAUUAUUUUAAUUCAGCUUUAAACCAAACGAAAAUAACUCACUGUUUGUCUAAAAAAAGAAGUGGAUUUACUAAUCUUUUAAUUAGAUUACAGUUCCUGACUUAGUACCUCUAGUGUCCUCAUGUUUACCUACCAGUCACUUUAACAACACCGACAAGGUCUCUAGUUUGUUGUUUUUACUCCCUUCCCAUGCCAUUUUGUUUAAUAUGAGUUGCUCUUAAAAUUGACUGCACAUUUGGUGUAAAAUGAUGCCCAGGAUGGCCUUCCUGACAGUUACUUUGGUUACUUUUAUCUGCUGGAUAAGUCUUGGAAGUGUAUAUGGAAAUGGGAAGGUUUUCUCUGACAACAUUACUCUCAUUUUGGAUCGACUUUUGGAUGGUUAUGACAACAGACUGCGACCUGGAUCCGGGGGUGGUGUUACGGAGGUGAAAACUGACUUCUUUGUCACCAGCUUUGGACCUGUUUCAGAUGUCGAUAUGGAUUACACCAUGGACAUGUUCUUCCGUCAGAUGUGGGUGGAUGAGCGGCUAAAAUUUGAGGGCCCAACUGAAAUCCUGCGGCUGAACAACCGCAUGGUGGACAAGAUCUGGACCCCAGACACUUUUUUCAGAAACUCCAAGAAGGCCAUUUCCCAUAACACAACCACACCUAACAAACUCUUCCGCAUCAUGCAGAACGGGACUGUCCUUUACACCAUGAGACUGACAAUCCAUGCUGACUGUCCAAUGAGUCUGAUGAACUUCCCCAUGGACGGCCAUGCCUGUCCUCUCCGGUUUGGAAGCUAUGCCUACACAAGCAGUGAAAUCCAUUUCACUUGGAGGAAAGGACUGGUAGCGUCUGUCGAUUGUCCCGCUGAGUCUAUGAGUCUUUUGCAGUAUGAUCUGGUGGGGCAGACUUUGUCCAGUGAGAUAUUCAAAGCAAACACAGGUCACUACUCUGUGCAGGUGGUCCAUUUCAAACUCCAGAGGAAGCUGGGCUACUACCUCAUACAGACAUACAUCCCUCUUAUAAUGGUUGUUGUGCUUUCCCAAGUCUCUUUUUGGAUCAACAAAGAGUCUGUUCCUGCACGCACAGUUGCUGGCAUCACCACAGUGCUGACCAUGACCACCUUGAGCAUCAGUGCCAGACAGUCGCUUCCCAAAGUAGCCUAUGCCACCGCCAUGGACUGGUUCAUUGCUGUGUGUUUUGCCUUUGUGGCAUCGGCUCUUAUUGAGUUUGCAGCAGUAAACUACUUGGCCACACUUCAGGCCAACCGUCUGAAGAAACAGAAACAUAGACAAGACAAGCUUGAAGUGUUGGCCGCUGGUGACGAUGAUGACGAAUCAAUUAUGAAAACCCACACAAGCCCCAGUAACAUCUCGUCUCUUGCUGCUUUUCCUCAAAAUCACCCCCACCCCCAUCCCGACAGUCGGACAGCCUUCAGGAAGGCCUGAAGAGGAGAAACCACUCAGUGUGUCGCAGUGAGCCAGGAGAUGGACCGCCCGUGCCCAUUUUCCUCCAGCAGGGCUCAGCUUUUCCUCCAAUCCCGCAGCUGGCCGGCACAAGCCCCAUUGACAAGUGGUCCCGCAUCCUCUUCCCCCUGGCCUUCGCCCUCUUCAAUCUCGUCUACUGGUACAUCUACCUUGGCAAAGACACCAUGGAGAGGGCCAGGGACGCCUGAUCUCCAAAACAAAGAGGACCUGGAAAAGGGCAUGGGCUGCCAGAGAGACCUUCAGCAUCCAGCCAGCCUCACCUCCCUCCCCUCUCUUUCUGUCUCUCUCUCUCGCUCUGUGAACAAGCUCUCAGCAGUCACUCUGCUCUCAUCUGACAGAGGAAAUGAAUCAGAAACUCAUUUAUUCUCCUAGCGCACAUCUAUUCAUUUCACAGGCUGUGACCACUGCCCACUUGUGUUCUGAUCAGUAGCUGAAGAGCUGCCCUUCACGGGGCCUCAAUCACUUUAAAGCCCGCCACACGUACACACAACAACUUCUCGGGCCCCCGGACCAAGACAGACGCCACACACGUACAGCACACAUGACAGUCAGACACGCGCACAGAGCAUGAAACACAUCAAAAAGAAGUUCAUGAUAUAAUCUAUGAUGGCUGUAACUGGUGGUGAUGCAACAGUGAACCAAUGCUUUCAGAAGCCUGCCCUCUACAGAAGCACAGCUCCCACUACAACAAGAUCAAAGGCAAUUUAGAGGAGGCUUGCAUCCCUCCCCGCGGCUUCAAAAAUGUACUCAAACCUGAGAAAAUGAAUUGUGGGAUUGUGUUUUCCAUCCCACCUUUCUGCUGCUCCCUCUGCGUUUUCAGAUCCGCGGGUCCUCUGAAAACAUUGCAGGGAAGAGUAGGAUAUAAUACCCGUGGGUGUUGAUGACAUUCAUUUUCUAUUUUUGUAUGGAUGUAGCAUGAUUGUGGGGCACAAAUGUUUGCAUAUACCUGCAAUGGAGGGAUUUUGAUUCUCUUUUUAGCUACUAGACAUGAUCAGUACCAUAAAAGCUUAAGGAAAAAACUUGAUCUUAAGUUGAGAUUUUGACCAAUCAAACCCACCAGUUCAUCCCAUUGUUUGACCUUGUCAGAAUGUAGACCUACCUGCCAUGUUAUAAACAUGAGAAUAAAACCAUCCUGAAAAUCA